rnacentral:tRNA from 1 species
CGGGUGUAGCUCAAUGGUAGAGCCUCUGCCUUCCAAGCAGAUGGUGCGAGUUCGAUUCUCGUCACC